rnacentral:rRNA from 2 species
ACUUAAAUUGAAGAGUUUGAUCAUGGCUCAGAUUGAACGCUGGCGGCAGGCCUAACACAUGCAAGUCGAGCGGUAGCACAGAGAGCUUGCUCUCGGGUGACGAGCGGCGGACGGGUGAGUAAUGUCUGGGAAACUGCCUGAUGGAGGGGGAUAACUACUGGAAACGGUAGCUAAUACCGCAUAACGUCGCAAGACCAAAGAGGGGGACCUUCGGGCCUCUUGCCAUCAGAUGUGCCCAGAUGGGAUUAGCUAGUAGGUGGGGUAACGGCUCACCUAGGCGACGAUCCCUAGCUGGUCUGAGAGGAUGACCAGCCACACUGGAACUGAGACACGGUCCAGACUCCUACGGGAGGCAG